UAUGAAUGUGUGUCAUUGCGAGUUUAACACGUGACAAACCUCGUUUUCCCGGGAAUUCAGACACGUGACAAUGACGUCUAAUGGAGCGAAGACAGUUUUUCCCGCGAACGACAACACUGAACACGCUCAUUAAGGAAGAAAAGCAUGCUGGCUAUCCGUAAAAGACGUAGAAGACCUCAGCAGGAUGCUGAAGAUAACAUCAUAUUUGAAACUGAAAAGCCUGGUCUUCAAGAGCAGUACAUCAGCAAAUAUAAAGGCAAGACAAUUCAAAUAUAAGUACUUUGGAUUACUUUUGUAUUGCAGCUGAACUGUUGAAUUAGUAAAAUGUUAGUACAUUUCAGAUAUUUCCAUUUUUACUUAUUAAAUGAGAUUGCAGACACCCUGUAACAGUAAUCAAAAUAAUGUUUUUUUCUGCUUUAGGCCGUGGCGUUUUCACCACUGAAUCUUUCUGCAGAGGAGACUUUGUUCUUGAAUACAGAGGUGAACUUCUGAGUUCAAAGGAGAGUCUUGAACGAACUAAAAACUACACUGAAACUGAGAGCACAUUCUUGUUUGAUUUUCAGUGGCAUGGAAAAUAUUGGUGUAUGGAUGCAUCCAAGGAAGACAAGUCCCUGGGAAGACUUGUCAACGAUGAGCACAAAAAUCCAACUUGCAAAAUGAGAACUGUUGAAGUGAAGAAAAAGCCUCAUCUUUGUCUAUUUGCUGUACGAGACAUU